rnacentral:snRNA from 1 species
GUGCUUGCUUUGGCAGCACAAAUACUAAAAUCAGAGCGACACAGAUAAGAUUAGCAUGGCCCUUGCACAAGGAUGACAUGCAAAUU